AUUGAACGCUGGCGGCAGGCUUAACACAUGCAAGUCGAGCGGAGAGAGGUAGCUUGCUACUGAUCUUAGCGGCGGACGGGUGAGUAAUGCUUAGGAAUCUGCCUAUUAGUGGGGGACAACAUUUCGAAAGGAAUGCUAAUACCGCAUACGUCCUACGGGAGAAAGCAGGGGAUCUUCGGACCUUGCGCUAAUAGAUGAGCCUAAGUCGGCUUAGCUAGUUGGUGGGGUAAAGGCCUACCAAGUCGACGAUCUGUAGCGGGUCUGAGAGGAUGAUCCGCCACACUGGGGCUGUGACACGGCCCAGAUUCCUACGGGAGGCAGCAGUUGGGAAUAUUGAACAAGAGGCGGAAGCCUUAUCCAGCCAUGCCGCGUGUGUGAAGAAGGCCUUAUGGUUGUAAAGCACUUUAAGCGAGGAGGAGGCUACUAUAGUUAAUACCUAGAGAUAGUGGACGUUACUCGCAGAAUAAGCACCGGCUAACUCUGUGCCAGCCGCCGCAGUAACAC
rnacentral:rRNA from 1 species